rnacentral:misc_RNA from 1 species
UCGAGCUAGUUGAUGGCGAGCGGGGUCAGAACGCCAUCUUUCUUAACGCCUAGUCGGAUUGGCCGCGGUGGUCCUUUGCGAGGAAUUGUGGCUUCGAUCCAUAACUCUUCGCCGUCGUGGCGUCGUGAAGGAUCGGGUAGAUGCUCCGGUAUGAAGAACGCAG